rnacentral:rRNA from 1 species
GAGUUUGAUCCUGGUUCAGGACGAACGCUGGCGGCGUGCCUAACACAUGCAAGUCGAACGGUUUCAAUGUUCGAACUUCGAAUUUCGAGCUUCGAACAUCGAGAUAGUGGCGGACGGGUGAGUAACGCGUGGGUAACCUACCCAACAGACCGGGACAACACUUGGAAACGAGUGCUAAUACCGGAUAACCUAAGACACUGGCAUCAGAGACUUAGGAAAGGUGGCCUCUAUAUAAAAGCUACCGUUGUAGGAUGGACCCGCGUCUGAUUAGCUAGUUGGUGGGGUAACGGCCUACCAAGGCGACGAUCAGUAGCCGGCCUGAGAGGGUGAACGGCCACACUGGGACUGAGACACGGCCCAGACUCCUACGGGAGGCAGCAGUGGGGAAUCUUCCGCAAUGGACGAAAGUCUGACGGAGCAACGCCGCGUGUAUGAUGAAGGCCUUCGGGUUGUAAAGUACUGUCUUUGGGGACGAAUGGUCACUAUGAAAAUAUUGUAGUGACAUGACGGUACCCAAGAAGGAAGCCCCGGCUAACUACGUGCCAGCAGCCGCGGUAAUACGUAGGGGGCAAGCGUUGUCCGGAAUCAUUGGGCGUAAAGGGCGCGUAGGCGGAUAGUUAAGUCCGAUGUGAAAUACCAGGGCUCACCCCUGGGGCUGCAUCGGAAACUGGUUAUCUUGAGG